rnacentral:sRNA from 1 species
GGCAUGGGCCACUGUGCCCAGUUGGAAGUGCUUAUUUGAAGAAUUUCCCAUACUGUUGGUUUUGUAGAAAUGUGUUACUUUUUGUAAAGAGCAAAUGAUUGGUUCCUCCCCUGGAGUGGGGGAAUGAGGAGAAAUAGAAUUAAUUCAAUAUUUCAGUUAUUUAAUGUUCUAGCACAUUUAUUUUAUAAUGCAAUACUUCCUUGGGAAUAGGAAGUAAUACUGUAUAAGACAAGACACUAACUUAUUAUGCAGAAGGGGAAAAAAAAGAUAUUAUUACCAAAAACAGAUGUGAAGGUUUAUGGUUGGCCAUAAGGCCUGGGAAAUUAAGAACUGUUCAGUUAGGGAGAACUCAUUUCAUAAGAGUAGAGGCUUCACUCUUAAGUAGGGGGAAAGGCAGAAUUUUGUGGUAACCAUGUACAGAGUGCUUUGUACUUCCAAUUUCAGAAUGAAGUUUACAGCCCAUUCCUAUGUUAUAUGUUACUGCCUCUAGUCAGUGUCUAUUGUAUUUAUUACUGCAGGGCCGCCUUUUUGCCUAUCCUGACACUCACCGCCAUCGCCUGGGACCCAAUUAUCUUCAUAUACCUGUGAACUGUCCCUACCGUGCUCGAGUGGCCAACUACCAGCGUGACGGCCCCAUGUGCAUGCAGGACAAUCAGGGUGGUGCUCCAAAUUACUACCCCAACAGCUUUGGUGCUCCAGAACAACAGCCUUCUGCCCUGGAGCAUAGCACCCAAUGUUCUGGAGAAGUGCAG